rnacentral:lncRNA from 10 species
CUUUUCUAAAUGAUAAACUGACAGCUUUUGUUUUCCUUCCCAAUACUAUGCUCUGCUUUGCCGUGGAACUUACUUGUUUUAUUCACUUAACUACAUUAUUGGAUUGUUAGUUAAGUUUUCUAUUGGUUAUAUUGUGUAUUUAACUUUGAGGGGAAAGCCACUCCCAUUUUACUAAGGUAUAAAGAGGCUACAAUCUUAGUGGAUAUAUUAUCUCUCAAUUUUUCACUGCUGUCUUCUUUAUGUCAUUUGUUACUUUAUAACUUUCUUCGUGUAAAUUGAUCUUUUAUACUUUAUAUCAUUUCUCUAUUCAGAAUCCUUUGCCUACAGGGUGAGUCAUCCUGGUAAUCCCAUUCAGUUUUCUAUUCUUUUCUCCUUUUUUCCAGCAUAAAACUCUUUUUUAUACAUUUUAAGCCAUGCUUAUUUACUGAACAUACCAUCUUCUUUCUUAAAGCCAGAGUUUGCCCUUACCAUAUUACUUGCCUGACAUCCCUUUUUCUUUCGUUCUUUCUGUUCAAAUACAAUGAAUCCUUCAGAAUGCUAUUAGAUCACAUCUGUUCAAGAUAAAGUGAAGCACUUGCCUUACUGAUCUCCCUGCAUCUUUCCACUUCUCUUG